UACGUAGGUGGCAAGCGUUGUCCGGAUUCACUGGGCGUAAAGGGCGUGCAGGCGGUCUGUUAAGUGCAGGGUGAAAGCUCCCGGCUCAACUGGGAGAGGUCCUUGCAUACUGGCGGACUUGAGGGGGGUAGAGGAAAGUGGAAUUCCCGGUGUAGUGGUGAUAUGCGUAGAUAUCGGGAGGAACACCUGUGGCGAAGGCGGCUUUCUGGGCCCUACCUGACGCUGAGACGCGAAAGCGUGGGGAGCGAACCGG
rnacentral:rRNA from 1 species